UUCAACAAAUAGUAUGUUGUCUUUGAACUAUUCUCAAUUAAAUAUAGUGUUGAUAUGAUUUGUAAAUCAUAGCAUUCUUUUUUUUUAUUCACAUUUUUGAUGUCAUAAUGAUAAGCCUGAACUAAAUCAGGUAGGGAGGAUUACAAAAUUUACCCUGACAAAAUAUUUUUUAACAAAAAAAACGACCAAGCAGCUGGACUCAGAGGACCUGUGGAAGUUUCUGGAAGAGUGUUAGGGCAGCCUCUCUCUCACACAUAUCUGGAUAGCUUCCGUAUAAUCCUGAAGUUCCCCAUGUACAAUUACUCACCCGGUCUUCUUUUGUAAUUUAAUGUCAAGCAGGAUGUGUGUGUAUAAACUUGUGUGUGUGUGUGUGUGUGUGUGUGUGUGUCUGUGUAAAAUGUAGGCCUGUGGAUCCUGCCAUGUCAUUAUUCAGGGCCCCCUGUGAGAAGAACUCACUUCUGCAGCCGCUUCCCCUCCCCUCCAAUGUGUAGGGCUGAUUCUACUCAGCAUGCUGCAUGACUUCAAUAACAACGUUGUUAGCGCCAAGGUGGUUUGAACGACAAGAACAACAACAGACACAAAACAUACACCCAGAAUGGAUCGAGGAGUGGGAGGGCCCAGUGAUCACUUGAGCAAGAGGACAAAUACAUUAGAGUGUUUAGUUGGAAACUAGGGCUGUCAAAAUAACUGAUUAAUUUCGAUUAAUUAAUUU